AAUACUUGUUUUAUUUCUUUUUAGCAAUAUGGACCUCUAUUAAUAUGAAGUAUAACACAUUAUUUUAAAAUAGAGUGCAUGGUUGCUAUGGUAUUAAUUUGCACUGUUCAUUGCGCUGCUGGGAGCUGUAACAGAACUGUUCUAACAGUGUGUGGACUCAUUAAACCCGACUCAAUCGGUUCUGAGAUCGGUUAUGUAGUGUGGACAGGGCCUUAGUGUGUAUGAUGCUAAGCUCUGUUACCUGGACAGGGCCUUAGUGUGUAUGAUGCUAAGCUCUGUUACCCCACGAAUACACCCCACUGUAAAACAAUGUCAAGAGUUUGGAAUUAGUGGAGAACCAAGCCACACCCAUCCUAAUGAUAAUCUCUUUCGCUGUCAUGCUUGCAUUAAGACACAAGACAAAGAGCACACUUCAAGUAGCUGGUAGUGCUGCUCACUCAGCCGGUCUGCUGGUUUGUUAAGGUGAGGGUUAGGGGUCAGCCUGUCUGCUGGUUCGUUAGGGUGAGGGUGAGGGUGAGGGUGAGGGGUCAGCCUGUCUGCUGGUUUGUUAGGGUGAGGGUGAGGGUGAGGGGUCAGCCUGUCUGCUGGUUUGUUAGGGUGAGGGUUAGGGUGAGGGUGAGGGGUCAGCCUGUCUGCUGGUUCGUUAGGGUGAGGGUGAGGGGUCAGCCUGUCUGCUGGUUUGUUAGGGUGAGGGUUAGGGUGAGGGUGAGGGGUCAGCCUGUCUGCUGGUUUGUUAGGGUGAGGGUUAG